UACGAAGGGGGCUAGCGUUGCUCGGAAUCACUGGGCGUAAAGGGUGCGUAGGCGGGUCUUUAAGUCAGGGGGGAAAUCCUGGAGCUCAACUCCAGAGCUGCCUUUGAUACUGAAGAUCUUGAGUUCGGGAGAGGUGAGUGGAACUGCGAGUGUAGAGGUGAAAUUCGUAGAUAUUCGCAAGAACACCAGUGGCGAAGGCGGCUCACUGGCCCGAUACUGACACUGAGGCACGAAAGCGUGGGGAGCAAACAGG
rnacentral:rRNA from 1 species